CAGUGGGAGGUGGCGGUGGUCGGGGCAAUUGGUAGAGUGCCGACAGAGCUUCCCAUAUUUUCCAUAGCUUUCCAGCAUUGAAGUGGCAAGUCUCUGUAAAGCGAUGGCGCAAGCCAAAGUUUCGAUGGAUUGCAUUUUGCUCAGUUAGGGUCUUAAGUGCAUCACCUGCUGGCACAAUGUUCUGGUACUCAGCAAUUGUCUACAGUGUGAUUCACUGGGCCUCUGCUGGAGCUCUUGUCUGUACAGGGAAUGAAUUCCAGUGCGACGACGGCGGCCAGUGCGUGGGGC